rnacentral:rRNA from 1 species
UCGAGCGAAGCACUUUGUUUUGAAUCUUCGGAGGAAGAACGAAGUGACUGAGCGGCGGACGGGUGAGUAACGCGUGGGCAACCUGCCUCAUACAGGGGGAUAACAGUUAGAAAUGACUGCUAAUACCGCAUAAGACCACAGUACUGCAUGGUACAGUGGUAAAAACUCCGGUGGUAUGGGAUGGAUCCGCGUCUGAUUAGCUAGUUGGCGGGGUAACGGCCCACCAAGGCAGCGAUCAGUAGCCGGCCUGAGAGGGUGGCCGGCCACAUUGGGACUGAGACACGGCCCAAACUCCUACGGGAGGCAGCAGUGGGGAAUAUUGCACAAUGGGGGAAACCCUGAUGCAGCAACGCCGCGUGAGUGAAGAAGUAUUUCGGUAUGUAAAGCUCUAUCAGCAGGGAAGAAGAAGGACGGUACCUGACUAAGAAGCCCCGGCUAACUACGUGCCAGCAGCCGCGGUAAUACGUAGGGGGCGAGCGUUAUCCGGAUUUACUGGGUGUAAAGGGAGCGUAGACGGUUUUUCAAGUCUGAAGUGAAAGCCCGCGGCUCAACUGCGGAACGGCUUUGGAAACUGAGGGACUAGAGUGCUGGAGGGGCAGGCGGAAUUCCUGGUGUAGCGGUGAAAUGCGUAGAUAUCAGGAGGAACACCGGUGGCGAAGGCGGCCUGCUGGACAGUAACUGACGUUGAGGCUCGAAAGC